UACGUAUGGUGCAAGCGUUAUCCGGAUUUACUGGGUGUAAAGGGAGCGCAGGCGGCACGGCAAGCCUGAUGUGAAAGCCCGCGGCCCAACCGCGGGACUGCAUUGGGAACUACCGGGCUGGAGUGCCGGAGAGGUAGGCUGAAUUCCUAGUGUAGCGGUGAAAUGCGUAGAUAUUAGGAGGAACACCAGUGGCGAAGGCGGCCUACUGGACGGUGACUGACGCUGAGGCUCGAAAGCGUGGGGAGCAAACAGG
rnacentral:rRNA from 1 species